rnacentral:rRNA from 1 species
UCGAGAAUCUUCCGCAAUGGACGAAAGUCUGACGGAGCGACGCCGCGUGGUGGAUGAAGCCCUUAGGGGCGUAAACACCUUUUAUGAGUGAAGAAGUUUAUUGACAUUAGCUCAUGAAUAAGGGGCUCCCAAUUCUGUGCCAGCAGGAGCGGUAAUACAGAAGCCUCAAGCGUUACCCGGAUUUACUGGGCGUAAAGGAUGCGUAGGCGGUUAUAUUAGUCGGGUGUUAAAUCCUGGGGCUCAACCCCAG